rnacentral:rRNA from 1 species
AUUGAACGCUGGCGGCAGGCCUAACACAUGCAAGUCGAGCGAGCGGCGAACGGGUGAGUAAUGCAUGGGGAUGUGCCGGGUAGAGGGGGAUAACUAUUGGAAACGAUGGCUAAUACCGCAUACUAUCCGAUGGACCACUGUCGGAUUAGCUAGUAGGCGGGGUAAAGGCUCACCAAGGCGACGAUCGGUAGCUGGUCUGAGAGGAUGAUCCGCCACACUGGGACUGAGACACGGCCCAGACUCCGACGGGAGGCAGCAGUGGGUAAUUUUGGACAAUGGGCGCAAGCCUGAUGCAGCCAUGCCGCGUGUAUGAAGAAGGCCUUAGGGUUGUAAAGUACGUUCAUCGGGGAGGCGGUACCCGCAGAAGAAGCACCGGCUAACUCCGUGCCAGCAGCCGCGGUAAUAC